rnacentral:rRNA from 1 species
GAGUUUGAUCGUGGCUCAGGAUGAACGCUGGCGGCGUGCUUAACACAUGCAAGUCGAACGAAGCGCCUUAUUUGAUUUUCUUCGGAACUGAAGAUUUGGUGACUGAGUGGCGGACGGGUGAGUAACGCGUGGGUAACCUGCCCUGUACAGGGGGAUAACAAUCAGAAAUGACUGCUAAUACCGCAUAAGACCACAGCACCGCAUGGUGCAGGGGUAAAAACUCCGGUGGUACAGGGUGGACCCGCGUCUGAUUAGCUGGUUGGUGAGGUAACGGCUCACCAAGGCGACGAUCAGUAGCCGGCUUGAGAGAGUGAACGGCCACAUUGGGACUGAGACACGGCCCAAACUCCUACGGGAGGCAGCAGUGGGGAAUAUUGCACAAUGGGGGAAACCCUGAUGCAGCAACGCCGCGUGAGUGAAGAAGUAUUUCGGUAUGUAAAGCUCUAUCAGCAGGGAAGAAAGUGACGGUGCCUGACUAAGAGCCCCGGCUAACUACGUGCCAGCCGCCGCGGUAAG